GAUGAACGCUGGCGGCGUGCCUAAUACAUGCAAGUCGAGCGAACAGACGAGGAGCUUGCUCCUCUGACGUUAGCGGCGGACGGGUGAGUAACACGUGGAUAACCUACCUAUAAGACUGGGAUAACUUCGGGAAACCGGAGCUAAUACCGGAUAAUAUAUUGAACCGCAUGGUUCAAUAGUGAAAGACGGUUUUGCUGUCACUUAUAGAUGGAUCCGCGCCGCAUUAGCUAGUUGGUAAGGUAACGGCUUACCAAGGCGACGAUGCGUAGCCGACCUGAGAGGGUGAUCGGCCACACUGGAACUGAGACACGGUCCAGACUCCUACGGGAGGCAGCAGUAGGGAAUCUUCCGCAGUGGGCGAAAGCCUGACGGAGCAACGCCGCGUGAGUGAUGAAGGUCUUCGGAUCGUAAAACCCUGUUAUUAGGGAAGAACAACUGUGUAAGUAACUAUGCACGUCGUGACGGUACCUAAUCAGAAAGCCACGGCUAACUACGUG
rnacentral:rRNA from 1 species